rnacentral:rRNA from 1 species
UAAGGGAUAUUGCGACAAUGGGCGAAAGCCUGACGCAGCAACGCCGCGUGCGGGAGGACGGCCUUCGGGUUGUAAACCGCUUUUCGAGGGGAAGAGGAAGGACGGUACCCUCGGAAUAAGUCUCGGCUAACUACGUGCCAGCAGCCGCGGUAAAACGUAGGAGGCGAGCGUUAUCCGGAUUUACUGGGUGUAAAGCGCGUGCAGGCGGCCGUGCAAGUCGUGCGUGAAAGCGCCCGGCUCAACCGGGCGAGGUCGUGCGAAACUGCGGGGCUUGAGGCAGGUAGAGGCGUGUGGAAUUCCGGGUGUAGUGGUGAAAUGCGUAGAGAUCCGGAGGAACACCAGUGGCGAAGGCGGCACGCUGGGCCUGGCCUGACGCUCAGACGCGAAAGCAUGGGGAGCGAACGGG